UUAGUGGCAGACGGGUGAGUAACAUGUGGGUAUCUACCCUUUGGCCUGGAAUAACACGAGGAAACUUGUGCUAAUACCGGAUAAGUCUUUACGGAGAAAGCUUUAUGCACCAUUGGAUGAGCCCGCACUUGAUUAGUUUGUUGGUAGGGUAAUGGCCUACCAAGACUAUGAUCAAUAGCUGAUUUGAGAGGAUGAUCAGCCACAUUGGGACUGAGACACGGCCCAAACUCCUACGGGAGGCAGCAGUGGGAAUCUUGCACAAUGGAGGAAACUCUGAUGCAGCGAUGCCGCGUGAGUGAAGAAGGCCUUUGGGUUGUAAAGCUCUUUCGUCGGGGAAGAAAAUGACUGUACCCGAAUAAGAAGGUCCGGCUAACUUCGUGCCAGCAGCCGCGGUAAUACGAAGGGACCUAGCGUAGUUCGGAAUUACUGGGCUUAAAGAGUUCGUAGGUGGUUGAAAAAGUUGGUGGUGAAAUCCCAGAGCUUAACUCUGGAACUGCCAUCAAAACUUUUCAGCUAGAGUAUGAUAGAGGAAA
rnacentral:rRNA from 1 species